GAUGAACGCUAGCGGCAGGCCUAAUACAUGCAAGUCGGACGGGAUCCAUCGGAGAGCUUGCUCGAAGAUGGUGAGAGUGGCGCACGGGUGCGUAACGCGUGAGCAACCUACCUCUAUCAGGGGGAUAGCCUCUCGAAAGAGAGAUUAACACCGCAUAAUAUAUCUGAUUGGCAUCAGUUAGAUAUUAAAUAUUUAUAGGAUAGAGAUGGGCUCGCGUGACAUUAGCUAGUUGGUAGGGUAACGGCUUACCAAGGCGACGAUGUCUAGGGGCUCUGAGAGGAGAAUCCCCCACACUGGUACUGAGACACGGACCAGACUCCUACGGGAGGCAGCAGUAAGGAAUAUUGGUCAAUGGGCGGAAGCCUGAACCAGCCAUGCCGCGUGCAGGAUGACUGCCCUAUGGGUUGUAAACUGCUUUUGUCCAGGAAUAAACCUAGAUACGAGUAUCUAGCUGAAUGUACUGGAAGAAUAAGGAUCGGCUAACUCCGUGCCAGCCGCCGCAGUAACAC
rnacentral:rRNA from 1 species